UGCCCGCAUUUCUCGGUGCAUGGAGAGGAGUCGCGGUGGGGGGGUUUCACAAGGAAGCGUCCAGACUCGAAGAGACGGUCUUUCAUGGCUCCCCCUCUUCCUGGCAGAAUGGUCCGGACCCAGCGGCCUCUCCCUCCUCAAAAUGGAUAAACUGGCUGAGAAGGGAACCAACUGGGUGAAGAUGAAGUAUAGAGGUCCUGAGGGGGCCCCAGCUGUCAGCACAGUCCCCUUGCCCCAUCACGAGUCCAUUUCCUUCCUGGUUAACUCUAACUGGAAGGUGCCCGACGCCCACCUUGGAAGACGGUGCUCAUUGUAUACUUGAGGAUCCUGGGAGGGAUGGAGACCCUCCCAGGCCCCCCCAAGUCCUCUCACAGAAGUGUCCUGGGAGCGGAGCCCUUCGGAAAAGCCGCAGUUGGGCCUCUCGGCUCCGGACCUGUGCUUUGCUUUGCUUGGAGAGGGCGACAGCUUCUCAUAGCGCCAAUAAAGAAUUAUCUAAGGGCAGGGCGCCACUGCUUGGUGUUUGUGCUCGACAGCCCACGUUUGAACAAGUUGCAUCCUGGGGGUGGGCGUCUCCUUGGCUGCUGAGGCCUCUUGGGCUCCCUGGGUAGGAAGCUGGCAAGGUCCAGGGCUCAGGAUGCUCUUACCUGCCAGGGAUCCUGAGGGAGGUGACUGUGGGAGGGGAAAGGCCCUGAGCACUAGUGCUUUCCCGGCCUGAGGGCUAGAGACCAACGGUGCCCCUGGUGGCCCCUAAAGGGGCCUGAGAAGUUAGAAAAAACGGACCGUGGGAGUGCUG
rnacentral:lncRNA from 1 species